rnacentral:rRNA from 1 species
AAGGAUCAUUAAUGAAUUACAAGUCGAUCGUCUGUGCUGGCAGCAAUGCAUGUGCAUGGCGGUUGCAAAUCCACACACCUGUGCACUUUAGACUUUGGGGUUCGCAUGUGGUAACAUGUGCAGUCGGUUGGCCUUUGGUUGACUUGAGCCCUGGGGUAUUUACACACACUCUGAAUGUAAUGGAAUGUACUUGUGCUUAAUCGCGCAUUUAAUACAACUUUCAACAACGGAUCUCUUGGCUCUCGCAUCGAUGAAGAACGCAGCGAAAUGCGAUAAGUAAUGUGAAUUGCAGAAUUCAGUGAAUCAUCGAAUCUUUGAACGCACCUUGCACCCUUUGGUAUUCCGAAGGGUACGCCCGUUUGAGUGUCAUUGUAAUCUCACACCCCAAGACUUUUGUCAAAAGGGAUUGUGGACUUGGAUGUUGUUGUGUAACUACGACUCAUCUCAAAUGCAUGAGUGUACCCUGCAUCUGCAGCGUAUUCGGUGUGAUAAGCAUCUUCACCGGAGUCAAGCCCUUUGGGGCGCGCUUGCUAAUGUAGGCUCUAUGCUGCAAACCGUCUUUGGACAAAUCAACUGACAAUUUGACCUCAAAUCGGGCGGGACUACCCGCUGAACUUAAGCAUAUCAAUAAGCGGAGGAAAAGAAACUAACAAGGAUUCCCCUAGUAACGGCGAGUGAAGAGGGAAAAGCUCAAAUUUUGAAUCUGGCGCCUUUGGUGUCCGAGUUGUAAUCUAGAGAAGUGUUUUCCGUGUUGGACCGUGCACAAGUUCCCUGGAACGGGGCGUCAUAGAGGGUGAGAAUCCCGUAUAUGGCACGGACUCCCAAUGCUCUGUGAUACACUCUCGACGAGUCGAGUUGUUUGGGAAUGCAGCUCAAAAUGGGUGGUAAAUUCCAUCUAAAGCUAAAUAUUGGCGAGAGACCGAUAGCGAACAAGUACCGUGAGGGAAAGAUGAAAAGCACUUUGGAAAGAGAGUGAAACAGUACGUGAAAUUGUUGAAAGGGAAGCGUUUGAAGUCAGUCACGCUCGUCGGAACUCAGCUUGGCUUYUGCCUGGUGUACUUUCUGGUGAGCGGGUCAGCGUCAGUUUUGGUCGAGGGAGAAAGGCAUUGGGAAUGUGGCAGUCUUCGGGCUGUGUUAUAGCCCUUUGUUGUAUGCCUCGACUGGGAUUGAGGACUGCAGCGCGCCUUUAUGGCCGGGGUUCGCGCCCUCGGUACGCGCUUAGGAUG